rnacentral:rRNA from 1 species
AUUGAACGCUGGCGGAAUGCUUUACACAUGCAAGUCGAACGGCAGCACGGGAGCUUGCUCCUGGUGGCGAGUGGCGAACGGGUGAGUAACAUAUCGGAACGUACCCAGGCGUGGGGGAUAACUAUCCGAAAGGAUAGCUAAUACCGCAUACGUCCUGAGGGAGAAAGCGGGGGAUCGCAAGACCUCGCGCGAUUGGAGCGGCCGAUAUCGGAUUAGCUAGUUGGUGGGGUAAAGGCUCACCAAGGCGACGAUCCGUAGCGGGUCUGAGAGGACGACCCGCCACACUGGAACUGAGACACGGUCCAGACUCCUACGGGAGGCAGCAGUGGGGAAUUUUGGACAAUGGGGGCAACCCUGAUCCAGCCAUUCCGCGUGAGUGAAGAAGGCCUUCGGGUUGUAAAGCUCUUUCAGCAGGAACGAAACGGUCGGCUUUAAUAAAAUCGGCUAAUGACGGUACCUGCAGAAGAAGCACCGGCUAACUACGUG